GUAAGGAAUAUUGGACAAUGGACGCAAGUCUGAUCCAGCCAUGCCGCGUGAAGGAUUAAGGUCCUCUGGAUUGUAAACUUCUUUUAUAAGGGACGAAAAAAGGCUUUUCUAAGUCGUCUGACGGUACCUUAUGAAUAAGCACCGGCUAACUCCGUGCCAGCAGCCGCGGUAAUACGGAGGGUGCAAGCGUUAUCCGGAUUCACUGGGUUUAAAGGGUGCGUAGGCGGACAGGUAAGUCAGUGGUGAAAUCCUAGAGCUUAACUCUAGAACUGCCAUUGAUACUAUCUGUCUUGAAUAUUGUGGAAGUAAGCGGAAUAUGUCAUGUAGCGGUGAAAUGCUUAGAUAUGACAUAGAACACCUAUUGCGAAGGCAGCUUACUACGCAUAUAUUGACGCUGAGGCACGAAAGCGUGGGGAUCAAACAGGAUUAGAUACCCGAGUAGUCC
rnacentral:rRNA from 1 species